UACGUAGGGGGCAAGCGUUGUCCGGAAUCAUUGGGCGUAAAGAGCUCGUAGGCGGCUUGCUAAGUCAGGUGUGAAACCUCCAGGCUCAACCUGGAGCCGCCACCUGAUACUGGUAUGGCUAGAGUCCGGUAGGGGACCACGGAAUUCCUGGUGUAGCGGUGAAAUGCGCAGAUAUCAGGAGGAACACCGAUGGCGAAGGCAGGUCUCUGGGCCGCAACUGACGCUGAGGAGCGAAAGCAUGGGGAGCGAACAGG
rnacentral:rRNA from 1 species